rfam:Myotis brandtii contig190305, whole genome shotgun sequence.
GGUGGUUCUCAGGUGAUGCACCCUGGAACCAGAGAGGAGGGAGCCCGAUUCUGGGGUGCGUCACCUGAGAACUGUC